rnacentral:rRNA from 1 species
UCGAGGAUCUUCGGCAAUGGGGGCAACCCUGACCGAGCGAUGCCGCGUGGGCGACGAAGGCCUUCGGGUUGUAAAGCCCUGUCGAGGGGGAGAAAGCCGCAAGGCGGAUCCAUCCCUGGAGGAAGCUCGGGCUAAGUUCGUGCCAGCAGCCGCGGUAAGACGAACCGAGCGAACGUUGUUCGGAAUCACUGGGCUUAAAGGGCGCGUAGGCGGGCUGCCGCGUCCGGGGUGAAAUCCCACGGCUCAACCGUGGAACGGCCCCGGGUACGGGCGGCCUCGAGGAAGGUAGGGGCGUGCGGAACUGUGGGUGGAGCGGUGAAAUGCGUUGAGAUCCACAGGAACUCCGGUGGCGAAGGCGGCACGCUGGACCUUUUCUGACGCUGAGGCGCGAAAGCCAGGGGAGCGAACG